AUUGAACGCUGGCGGCAGGCCUAACACAUGCAAGUCGAGCGGAGCGGCGGACGGGUGAGUAAUGCCUAGGAAUCUGCAUGGUAGUGGGGGAUAACGUCCGGAAACGGGCGCUAAUACCGCAUACUAUCAGAUGAGCCUAGUUCGUAUUAGCUAGUUGGUGGGGUAAAGGCGUACCAAGGCGACGAUCCGUAACUGGUCUGAGAUGAUGAUCAGUCACACUGGAACUGAUACACGGUCCAGACGCCUACGGGAGGCAGCAGUGGGUAAUAGUGGACAAUGGGCGAAAGCCUUAUCAAGCCAUGCCGCGUGUGUGAAGAAUGUCUUCGGAUUGUAAAGCACUUUAAGUUGGGAGGCGUUACCAACAGAAUAAGCACCGGCUAACUUCGUGCCAGCAGCCGCGGUAAUAC
rnacentral:rRNA from 1 species